GGGGGGUCCUGGUGCAUCUGGUGCUAAAGGGGAAAGUGGAGAUCCUGGCCCACAGGGACCAAGAGGACUUCAAGGACCUACUGGACCAGCUGGAAAACUAGGCAAGAGGGGCCGAAAUGGAGCUGAUGGAGCCAGAGGAAUUCCUGGAGAAUCGGGAGCCAAGGGAGACCGAGGAUUUGAUGGACUUCCUGGUCUACCUGGUGAGAAGGGACACAGGGGUGAGGCAGGUCCCAUUGGCUUACCAGGCCCUCCAGGAGAGGACGGACCAAGGGUGCGUUUGACCAAGUGACACAUUACUUUCUUAUUUGGAUUCAUAUGUACUUGCAUAGGUGUGCAGACACGUUGACAAACAUGUCUGUGCUCUUGUCUGCAGGGCGAGGAUGGUGAGAUUGGACAGAGAGGAAUGCCAGGAG
rnacentral:lncRNA from 1 species